AUAUGUAGUGUGUUCUGCACAUUUGGCGUUAUUCUCAUGUUUCGUUUUUCUGUGUGUGUGUGUGUGUGUGUGCACUGUACUAUAGCGAGACUUGAGCAGUUGCGUCCCAUUGCACCUGAGGACGCCCUAUUUUCACGAGCAAGUCUCUGUACCGUGUCACAUGUCAGGACAACAUGGCGACCUAGUCGCUGAGGCUCAGGUCCCCCUUCCCAAAUUUCUCCGUUCUAACGGGGGGAAGGGGAUAUGAAAGGAUCCUAAAGUAGGGGUAAGGGGGGGACACAAUGGAGAGAAGGGGGAGAGGUGGAGCCAGGACUAUAAAAGCUGCUGCGGAGCCAGAGAUGAGCUUGCUAUGAGCAGUAAGUUGAUGGGGUCCCAGGCGGAGGAAAUGUUCCGGGACUACGUCAACUACUUGCUUGUCCCAAGCUACAACGUCAGCAGCCUCAUCACCAUGGCAACCAGUCUUCAAGUUUAUUCCAAGCUCUUCCAAGCGGACAUUGCGAUUUAUUUCCAAUUGGUUUAAAUAGAAAAAGAUACUGAAUGAUCGGCCAACCAGGUCCUAUUCUAUCACGCCAUUGAAAUGCAGUUUGUGGAGGUUGAAUAGCAACAAUCCAACGACGUAGCCCUCAUUUAUGACAAGCCAGUAUUCCAUGCUCGAGGUUCACUUGUAUCGCCACCACAUUACUCCAUAUCUGUUCCAAUGUUGGUGUUGAAAGACUAUAGACCUGAUCGUAACCAUCAAAAUGCAUGUAUAAACUAAGAGAGGAUAACCGUGUUUAACGUUUGAUCAAGAAACAAGAAAGUGAAAAGGGCUUUCUAGAACUCUACAUGUCACUGUGACAUUACCAUUAUGGCCAGUUUCAAAAAUUUCUUAUUAGAAGCAAAAUAUCUCCAGCGAUACACACUAGUAGGCUCAGGCAACGCAAGAGAAAACUGCUUAAUUUAUUAUGCUCUUGUAAAAGUUGAAAAAAAUCUAAAUGUUGAGACUUUUAAAAUCUCUUUUGUGGAGGCCCCUUUUUUUAUGGAAGUCCCCGGGCUGCCCUGCCUUAAAUCCGGCCUUGGUCAUACUUAAAUCUAAGAAUUUAGUCAAUAUUCACUUAGAACUAUGAGACUUGGUUGUAGUAACCUUAUAAAUACUACAGGAAAAUAUGUCUUUAUCUUAGGCUUUAUUGUAAAAGAAUGACAAAACAGUUCACAGUAACACAGAACACAUUACAUAGUACACACACAAACUGACCUGGACACCACGACAUUUUAACACACCAGUACAGAUCAGUUCACAACACACAAGAAACAUAAAUACACAACAUUUGUGCUGUUUUGUGACAUUUCAAUGUGUAUCUACUUAGUUCUGUUUCUCCAACUCUCAGUCUUUCUACUUCUGCCAAGUUUAUUCCUGUAUUAGAUGUAGCUACAUACUAGAAAUUAACCAACAACAUUCAUUUUGCUUCAUUAUAUUGUUUGUUUAUUUGUUUUAGAAAAAUAAAUACUUUCGUAAAUCUUAAACUGCAGUACAAAAUAUUGUCACACAAAUCUUGAAGUAAAACUAAUCAAUGAUCAAAGUACAUUGCACGGUGUACUAUCUAAUAGACAAAAUCGCCCAAGUAAAGUAGCAAGCAAUAAUAGGGCAUACAUAAAGAACUAAGGCAUGAUGAACAAAUUCUGAAAUCUAUCAGAAAGAUUCCAAUAAUAAUAAAUGAUGUAUUUAUUUGUUGUAGGCUAUUUAUACACGUGCACAUCUUCCACUGGAAGUUUUCGUACAUAGAAGCAAGCUGGUUUUAGACAAGGCGCAGCACAACAGAACGACUCCUGAACCUCAGGAUAUAUAUAGGCCUACUCUGCGAGAAUUGCCUUCAACACCAAGAGUAUCUUUGCCUUGUCUUAAUUGAUUUCAAAAAAGCUUUCGAGAAUGGAAAAGUACUAUGUAAAUAAUAAAUUACCAAUAGUUGAUAAAUUAAUUGGUUAAUUUUUAAAAAUUGAUUUUUGUUUUGUCAGGUAAAAGAAAUACAAAACAGGGUGUGGGAGAAAUAACGUGUACAAACAUUUUACCAGACCGACAGACAGACAGAGAAAGUUGAUAUAUAAGCUUUGUAAAAAAAAACUAAUCUAAAAUCUCUACAAGCAGGCCACUUGUGUAAAAAAAAAGAUGAUUAAAUAUAAUUUUUUUUUUUUUUUUUUUGUUGUUGUUGUACACAUUUCCUUCAUCACCGAGGACUCAAUAGCCUACUAUUAAUAGCACAUGUAAAGUAGAUCUAUAUUUAUGUUUAUUUUCCCUACAUCUAUAUUUUCAAAUAUUUUUAAAAUCUGAUAUUUUAAAGAAUAUUUACUCAUGAACUUGGUCAAGUGUAUAGCUUAUUUUAGCCUAACCCUCACUUCUGGAGUGAAUAUCAUUUCAGUGUUAACUAAAACUGUCUCGACAUUGUUUAGUUCUAUUUAUAGAAUCAGUAAAUGUAUUUAAAAACUAGCUCUCAUUUCUAGAUCUGUAAACAAAACAAUUCUUGAAGUAGACGCCAAGACAUUAACAACAACAAAUUUGAUGCAAUACAGAGUAGCAGUGAAACUGAAACAAACUCUUAACAAAUGUUUGUAUUGAAAAACUUCAAUGGAAAUCAACGAAAUCGACAAAAAAAAAAAAAAGAUAUUAGAAAUAAAAAUACAUUAAAUUUCAA